CAGUAGCCGCGUGAAUACAGAGGGUGCGAGCGUUAAUCGGAUUUACUGGGCGUAAAGCGUGCGUAGGCGGCUUCUUAAGUCGGAUGUGAAAUCCCUGAGCUUAACUUAGGAAUUGCAUUCGAUACUGGGAAGCUAGAGUAUGGGAGAGGAUGGUAGAAUUCCAGGUGUAGCGGUGAAAUGCGUAGAGAUCUGGAGGAAUACCGAUGGCGAAGGCAGCCAUCUGGCCUAAUACUGACGCUGAGGUACGAAAGCAUGGGGAGCAAACAGGAUUAGAUACCCCGGUAGUCCCUGUCUCUUAACA
rnacentral:rRNA from 1 species